CUGACUUUUGUCUUUGAAGUGUUUGUGUGCUGGUGUGACACUCGACCCUGAUUGUUAGAAGGCACUGUCUUGUUCUGCAGCAGUGACUGAGCAUUCUUGGUAGCAGUAGCUCAGAUUGCUGCCAGACAAGGGAGCUGAUGGACAUAAAACCUGCUGCUGCUGCUGAAUUUAUACACAGGAAGAUUCUACGUGUUCAGCCUGCAUCCUGAUGGAGGAGAUCUUGUUCAUCUGUUGAUUUACAGACAGCAGAAGGCACCACUAAUGGAAGUAUUUUAGUUUCCACUCCAAAAGAUGGGAUAUUGCAGCACACAUGGAACUGAAUUUCCUCUUCCUCUCUGCAGUUUUCCUGUGGAGAAUGAAAAUGACUGUUCCAGCCAAGGCUGGGAAGAUUUUCCCUGGGCUAACAAUGAGCAGAGAACUGAAGUGCUGGAAUUCUUUCCUUGAUGUCAGUUUAACUGACUCAGUGGCAUAAAACAAAAUUAGUAACGGUUCAAGUGCGUAAUCUUUCCUCUGGUUAGAACUUCCCUGACAAAUACUUAUUAUUUGGCUAACAAGGGGUAAUUAAGCUUCUGCAAAGAGGACCAAGAGAAAAGUGAUUGACCCCUCCAGGCUGAGCCUCAGCAGGGUCUAACUAAAGCUCCUUCCUGAGACUGAGUCACUCCGUG
rnacentral:lncRNA from 1 species